rnacentral:lncRNA from 1 species
UUUGUUUUUUUCCUGAGGUUUGGGACCGUCCUUGCAGGUUAUACUGUCUUUUUUUUUGGAGAGCAUUAGCCUUUCCUUCUGGUAGAAUGUUACCUCACCUCCUCACUCCCCAUAAUUGUUUUCCUCUUUAAUUUUAGAAAUGGAUUCAUUCUAGGAAUAUCACCUCUUAAAGAUAUUGUUUGCCGCUAUGUGAGCAGAUUCUCAGAGGGCUCUAACUGGGAUUGUGAAGCUGAGAUAUUCCAGAGGUGUCAUUCUCACUAGAAUCCAACAGUGGCCACCUAUUUCCACGUGGAGAUGAGUGUGAAGUGUGCUGUGACUUCAGGGACGUCAGGUCCUUGGUCCCAGGAGGGCUCACAGGAAGGAAGAAGAGGCUCCUGUUGAGCCUGAAGAAGAGGCACAUUCUCAGGUCUGACUCUGUCUUCCCUGUUGUUUUGAACCAGCUGCCUUUGGGUUCAGAAAGGUUAGAGUGGGUCUCAUCUCCCCUCCUGAAAGAUGUGAAGACAUCAGCCCUGAAGGAGUCAGCUGGGUGGUUGAGGAUGAGUCAGUCAUUUUGUGUAAGGAGCAGUAGGUGCAUGUCAUCAGGUCAAAGUCUUUGACACCCUUCAUCAAUUCCGUCCUUUCCGAGUUGCCUUUUAAUGAUGCUGAUAGAACAACUGCUUUAAACAACUUACUGAAUUUUCCAGCCCGAGAAGAGCUAAGGGAUUAUUGAAUGUCAUUUCUAUCAUUUUAUGGAAAUAAAAGGCCCAGAGAUGUGACA